UACGUAGGGGGCUAGCGUUGCUCGGAAUCACUGGGCGUAAAGCGCACGUAGGCGGAUUGUUAAGUCAGGGGUGAAAUCCUGGAGCUCAACUCCAGAACUGCCUUUGAUACUGGCAAUCUUGAGUCCGGGAGAGGUGAGUGGAACUCCGAGUGUAGAGGUGAAAUUCGUAGAUAUUCGGAAGAACACCAGUGGCGAAGGCGGCUCACUGGCCCGGUACUGACGCUGAGGUGCGAAAGCGUGGGGAGCAAACAGG
rnacentral:rRNA from 1 species